UUUAAUUGAGAUUUUUUUAAUUAUUCGUUUAUAUUUAAACUAUGUUGAAGGAUCUCAAGCCGUGUUGAAAGUUUUCAAGCCGUGUUGAAAAAUCUUAAGCCAUACCAAGCCGUUACACUAAAAGAUCUCAAGCCGUGUUGAAAAGGCUUAAGCCAUGUUGAAAAGGCUUAAACCAUAUCCGUGUUGAAAAGGCUUAAGCCAUAUGUUGAAAGAUCUCAAGCUGUGUUGAAAAGGCUUAAGCCAUGUUGAGAGAUCUCAAAUGGACACGUGGCAUUUAUCGAUUGGUUGAACUGAAAGAACUUUUUAAGCCGUUUCAGCUUUUUGAAACGGCUCGUUGAGCCGUUUCCAGUGGCUAUUUUUGAAA
rnacentral:lncRNA from 1 species